rnacentral:lncRNA from 1 species
GCAUUUAUGGGCUUCUAAAAAAGAUUGCAACUGAAAGCAACAGUUCCUCAACAGUUCAAAAAAAACCCAAAACAGCAAACAGUUCCUUGUCUCACUGUCCUUGCUCACUUCCAAAGAGUCCUUAGCUUUCAGUCUCUAUCAUUAUAAUUAUAUGCCUUUCUUUCGUCUUCAUGCUUCUUUCACGCCUUUUUUCCCAUUCCGCCUUUUUUUUUUUUUAUAAAGAUAAGGUUAAUUUAAAAAAAAAACAAAAGAGAGAGUCCAAUCCAUUAUAUCAAACAGGGUCCAAAAGGAGUACAAAGUAAAAACAAAUAUAGACCUAAGAAGACUUAGCCCCUAACGUACACAGAGCCCAAGCUAGGCCCAAAAGCUAAACAGGAAAAUGCCCUCAUCAGUCAAGCCCAGUCCAAAAGAUUGUUGCCCUAAUUCGAAAAGCAGACCCGAAACUGGAUGGCAACCAAGAUCUUCGUUGAAGCGACACUGUUGGGUUCAUCUUUUGUCGAAUAGAAAGUGCCGGAUCUGCACAGGAGUUUUCAGCAGAGACAGGAGCUCCACCAAAGAAAACGACAUGCAGAGACAAAAACACCAAAGGUUUAAGGCAAUUGUGGAGAAGCCCAACACAUGAGGCAAAGGACAGAUCUUGACGGGGAGGGAAAUUGGACAAAAUGACAGGUAGAGCUCCGCAGUCUCAUUCUCUCUUAGCAUUUGGGACCGGGAUACCAGCUGGUAGAUGUGGCACCGUGAUCGUCUCUGGGAUAGCCAGCCGUCUGCUUCCUCCAAACACACAACUCAACAGCAUCACUCGCCGAAGGAAUGGUCAAGAAGACCUGCAAAAGCACAUGCAAAACUACAAACACAAGUAACCUCAAACAUAAGCAGAUACCAAAAAACCCCUCACCAAUAACCCCAUACCUACUGAAGAAAUCAAUAAAAAAAAAAAUAUCUACAUCCCUCCAAUGGUGGGGAGAGCAGAACCCACGACUGGAGGAAAAGCAAGGCUUCCCCUAACUGGAAGGAGGGGAGGAAGCGAAUUGGAAUGGCAGAGAAAAUAGACGGGAGAGAAUUCUCUCUCUAAAACAACUGAGUUUCAUGUUUAUUUAAGUUGAAAAAUGACAUUUAAAUCAAUAAUCGUUAAAUUUAUAUAAAUUUAAAAUAUUCAAAUUUAAAUGAACCAUAAAAUUAAGAGUUAAUUUAAUUAUAUGUAUUAUUUAAUUUGAAAUUAAUCGUGUUUACGUGGAUCGCUUGCCAGUAGCUUCCGUGAUCAAGAUAUCACCUAUUUAGGACGAGGUGCAAAAGGGACGACCUCAGCACCUCCCUUUGAACCACUCUCCGUAGAAUCUUCAAUGGUAAUGGACUUUUGAGAGGCCGCUUCGAAGGCCGGGUUGAGAUGAGGAGUAGCAGGAGACUUAGAGGAGCUCAGAGUCCUGCCGUGAGUGGACGCUUUAGAGGCCUCAGAACGGGAGCCCUUAGAGACUGGCACCAAAACACGAGAAGAGACAAGGGUAGGAGAAGCAGUUCGGCUAGCUACCUGGGGAGAGAUGGCGUGAGCGAUCUCCCGAGACACGUCGGUUACAGAUCGACUAGUCCGAAAGGCCUCCAG